GGGAGAUGUCGGUGGCGGACGGGUGAGUAACGCGUAAAGAAUUUGCCCUUCAGACUGGGACAACUAACCGAAAGGUUAGCUAAUACCGGAUAUUAUGAGACCUUGGCAUCAAGGACUUAUGAAAGCUAUAUGCGCUGGAGGAGAACUUUGCGUCCCAUUAGGUAGUUGGUAGGGUAAUGGCCUACCAAGCCGACGAUGGGUAGCCGGCCUGAGAGGGUGAACGGCCACAAGGGGACUGAGACACGGCCCUUACUCCUACGGGAGGCAGCAGUGGGGAAUAUUGGACAAUGGACCAAAAGUCUGAUCCAGCAAUUCUGUGUGCACGAUGAAGGUCUUCGGAUUGUAAAGUGCUUUCAGGUGGGAAGAAGAAAGUGACGGUACCACCAGAAGAAGCGACGGCUAAAUACGUGCCAGCAGCCGCGGUAAUACGUAUGUCG
rnacentral:rRNA from 1 species